UACGAAGGGGGCUAGCGUUGUUCGGAAUUACUGGGCGUAAAGGGCGCGUAGGCGGUGUGUCAAGUCAGGCGUGAAAGCCCCGGGCUCAACCUGGGAACCGCGCUUGAGACUGGCACGCUAGAGUUCGGGAGAGGAUGGUGGAAUUCCCAGUGUAGAGGUGAAAUUCGUAGAUAUUGGGAAGAACACCGAUGGCGAAGGCAGCUCGCUGGGACGGUACUGACGCUGAGACGCGAAAGCGUGGGGAGCGAACAGG
rnacentral:rRNA from 1 species